rnacentral:rRNA from 1 species
UCCACGCCGUAAACGAUGGAUACUAGCUGUUCGAUCUUCGGAUUGAGUGGCUAAGCGAAAGUGAUAAGUAUCCCACCUGGGGAGUACGUUCGCAAGAAUGAAACUCAAAGGAAUUGACGGGGGCCCGCACAAGCGGUGGAGCAUGUGGUUUAAUUCGAUGAUACGCGAGGAACCUCACCAGGGCUUAAAUGUAGCUGGACAGAUUUAGAAAUAGAUCCUCCUUCGGGCUAGUU